GACGAACGCUGGCGGCGUGCCUAAUACAUGCAAGUAGAACGCACAGUUUAUACCGUAGCUUGCUACACCAUAGACUGUGAGUUGCGAACGGGUGAGUAACGCGUAGGUAACCUGCCUGGUAGCGGGGGAUAACUAUUGGAAACGAUAGCUAAUACCGCAUAAUAUUAAUUAUUGCAUGAUAAUUGAUUGAAAGAUGCAACUGCAUCACUACCAGAUGGACCUGCGUUGUAUUAGCUAGUAGGUGAGGUAACGGCUCACCUAGGCGACGAUACAUAGCUGACCUGAGAGGGUGAUCGGCCACACUGGGACUGAGACACGGCCCAGACUCCUACGGGAGGCAGCAGUAGGGAAUCUUCGGCAAUGGACGAAAGUCUGACCGAGCAACGCCGCGUGAGUGAAGAAGGUUGUCGGAUCGUAAAGCUCUGUUGUAAGAGAAGAACGGGUGUGAGAGUGGAAAGUUCACACUGUGACGGUAUCUUACCAGAAAGGGACGGCUAACUACGUG
rnacentral:rRNA from 1 species